CAAUAGCGUAUAUUAAAGUUGUUGCAGUUAGAACGCUCGUAGUCGGAUUUCGGGGCGGGUCGACCGGUCUGCCGAUGGGUAUGCACUGGCCGACGCGUCCUUCCUUCCGGAGACCGUCUCACUCUUAACUGAGCGGAGGCGGGAGACGGAAUUUUUACUUUGAAAAAAUCAGAGUGUUUCAAGCAGGCAGCUCGCUCUUGCAUGGAUUAGCAUGGGAUAAUGAAAUAGGACUUUGGUGCUAUUUUGUUGGUUUCGAACACCGAAGUAAUGAUGAGAAGGGACAGUCAGGGGCACUCGUAUUCCGCCGAGAGAGGUGAAAUUCUCAGACCAGCGGAAGACGAACCACUGCGAAAGCAUUUGCCAGGGAUGUUUUCACUG
rnacentral:rRNA from 1 species